rnacentral:rRNA from 1 species
AUGCACGCUGGCGGCGUGCCUCAUACAUGCAAGUCGCGCGAACGGACGAGAAGCUUGCUUCUCUGAUGUUAGCGGCGGACGGGUGAGUAACACGUGGAUAACCUACCUAUAAGACUGGGAUAACUUUGGGAAACCGGAGCUAAUACCGGAUGAUAUUUUGAACCGCAUGGUUCAAAAGUGAAAGACGGUCUUGCUGUCACUUAUAGAUGGAUCCGCGCUGCAUUAGCUAGUUGGUAAGGUAACGGCUUACCAAGGCAACGAUGCAUAGCCGACCUGAGAGGGUGAUCGGCCACACUGGAACUGAGACACGGUCCAGACUCCUACGGGAGGCAGCAGUAGGGAAUCUUCCGCAAUGGGCGAAAGCCUGACGGAGCAACGCCGCGUGAGUGAUGAAGGUCUUCGGAUCGUAAAACUCUGUUAUUAGGGAAGAACAUAUGUGUAAGUAACUGUGCACAUCUUGACGGUACCUAAUCAGAAAGCCACGGCUAACUACGUG